AUUGAACGCUGGCGGCAGGCUUAACACAUGCAAGUCGAGCGGAGAUGAGGUGCUUGCACCUUAUCUUAGCGGCGGACGGGUGAGUAAUGCUUAGGAAUCUGCCAUUUAGUGGGGGACAACAUUCCGAAAGGAAUGCUAAUACCGCAUACGUCCUACGGGAGAAAGCAGGGGAUCUUCGGACCUUGCGCUAAAUGAUGAGCCUAAGUCGGAUUAGCUAGGUGGUGGGGUAAAGGCCUACCAAGGCGACGAUCUGUAGCGGGUCUGAGAGGAUGAUCCGCCACACUGGGACUGAGGCGCGGCCCAGCCUCCUACGGGAGGCAGCAGUGGGGAAUAGUGGACAAUGGGGGCAACCCUGAUCCAGCCAUGCCGCGUGUGUGAAGAAGGCCUUUUGGUUGUAAAGCACUUUAAGCGAGGAGGAGGCUACUUGGAUUAAUACUCUGGGAUAGUGGACGUUACUCGCAGAAUAAGCACCGGCUAACUCUGUGCCAGCCGCCGCCGUAAGAC
rnacentral:rRNA from 1 species